GGGAAGUCGUGUAAAAUGCCAGCUCUAUAGAGAGGGCCUAAACCCUUGCAGGGCUCUUGCACCACACAGGAGGAGUAAUGGCUGCAUGCAACUCUUCCUUCCAGAUGCUGUACCGUGUGGAAGAUAUUCCUAAUAUCAUCAAGUUUUUCCACAGUUGCCUCGACCACCAGGGUAAACUCCUGAUCAUAAUUUUGGCAGACAUGCCGUUUUCCCACGCAGAAGGUCGGUCUUUGAGGUGACCACGAGAGGGCUGCAGCAGCCGGCGGAUCGGAUU
rnacentral:lncRNA from 1 species